rnacentral:tRNA from 1 species
GUAAAUUUAAGAUAUUCACAAUCUUUGUGUCUUUUAAACAUAAAAAGCUUUUGCAAUUUACC